CGGAGCGUAGCGCAGGUGGCUAGCGCACUUGAAUGGGGUUCAAGAGGUCGACGGUUCAAAUCCGUCCGCUCCGA
rnacentral:tRNA from 1 species